GACGAACGCUGGCGGCGUGCUUAACACAUGCAAGUCGAACGGAAAGGCCCUGCUCUUGUGGGGUGCUCGAGUGGCGAACGGGUGAGUAACACGUGAGUAACCUGCCCUUGACUUUGGGAUAACUUCAGGAAACUGGGGCUAAUACCGGAUAGGAGCUCCUGCAGCAUGGGGUGGGUUGGAAAGUGUCGGCUGUUGGGGAUGGACUCGCGGCUUAUCAGCUGGUUGGUGGGGUAGUGGCUUACCAAGGAUUCGACGGGUAGCCGGCAUGAGAGGGUGAACGGCCACAUUGGGACUAAGAUACGGAACAGAAUGCUACGGGAGGCAGUAGUGGGGAAUAUUGCACAAUGGGCGGAAGCCUGAUGCAGCAACGCCGCGUGCGGGAUGACGGCCUUCGGGUUGUAAACCGCUUUCGCCUGUGACGAAGCGUGAGUGACGGUAAUGGGUAAAGAAGCACCGGCUAACUACGUG
rnacentral:rRNA from 1 species